AAAAAAGGUAAGCUACUAAGAGCGAAUGGUGGAUGCCUUGACUGGUAAAGGCGAUGAAGGACGUACUAGACUGCGAUAAGCUACGGGGAGCUGUCAAGAAGCUUUGAUCCGUAGAUUUCCGAAUGGGGCAACCCAAUGUAUAGAGAUAUACAUUACCUAUAUAGGAGCGAACGAGGGGAAUUGAAACAUCUUAGUACCCUCAGGAAAAGAAAUCAAUAGAGAUUGCGUCAGUAGCGGCGAGCGAAAGCGCAAGAGGGCAAACCCAGUGCUUGCACUGGGGGUUGUAGGACUGCAAUGUGCAAGAGGUGAGUUUAGCAGAACAUUCUGGAAAGUAUAGCCAUAGAGGGUGAUAGUCCCGUAUGCGAAAAACAAACCUUAGCUAGCAGUAUCCUGAGUAGGGCGGGACACGAGAAAUCCUGUCUGAAGCUGGGUCGACCACGAUCCAACCCUAAAUACUAAUACCAGAUCGAUAGUGCACAAGUACCGUGAGGGAAAGGUGAAAAGAACUGAGGUGAUCAGAGUGAAAUAGAACCUGAAACCAUUUGCUUACAAUCAUUCAGAGCCCUAUGUAGCAAUACAGGGUGAUGGACUGCCUUUUGCAUAAUGAGCCUGCGAGUUGUGGUGUCUGGCAAGGUUAAGCAAACGCGAAGCCGUAGCGAAAGCGAGUCUGAAUAGGGCGCUUAGUCAGAUGCUGCAGACCCGAAACGAAGUGAUCUAUCCAUGAGCAAGUUGAAGCUAGUGUAAGAACUAGUGGAGGACUGAACCCAUAGGCGUUGAAAAGCCCCGGGAUGACUUGUGGAUAGGGGUGAAAGGCCAAUCAAACUUCGUGAUAGCUGGUUCUCUCCGAAAUAUAUUUAGGUAUAGCGUUGUGUCGUAAUAUAAGGGGGUAGAGCACUGAAUGGGCUAGGGCAUACACCAAUGUACCAAACCCUAUCAAACUCCGAAUACCUUAUAUGUAAUCACAGCAGUCAGGCGGCGAGUGAUAAAAUCCGUCGUCAAGAGGGAAACAACCCAGACUACCAGCUAAGGUCCCUAAAUCUUACUUAAGUGGAAAACGAUGUGAAGUUACUUAAACAACCAGGAGGUUGGCUUAGAAGCAGCCAUCCUUUAAAGAAAGCGUAAUAGCUCACUGGUCUAGUGAUUUUGCGCGGAAAAUAUAACGGGGCUAAAGUAAGUACCGAAGCUGUAGACUUGCGCACAACUUAGAUUAUUUAAGUUUAGAAUAUGAGAAACUAAGUUAUAUGUUUAGUUAUAUUUUUACUGAUUUUUAUAGAGUAAAGAUAGAAAUAAAACUUAGUAAAAUCAGUAAAAAUAUUCUUAGACUAAAGUUAAGUAGUUUAAGUUGUGUGCAAGUGGUAGGAGAGCGUUCUAUUUGCGUCGAAGGUAUACCGGUAAGGAGUGCUGGAGCGAAUAGAAGUGAGCAUGCAGGCAUGAGUAGCGAUAAUUAAUGUGAGAAUCAUUAACGCCGUAAACCCAAGGUUUCCUACGCGAUGCUCGUCAUCGUAGGGUUAGUCGGGUCCUAAGUCGAGUCCGAAAGGGGUAGACGAUGGCAAAUUGGUUAAUAUUCCAAUACCAACAUUAGUGUGCGAUGGAAGGACGCUUAGGGCUAAGGGGGCUAGCGGAUGGAAGUGCUAGUCUAAGGUCGUAGGAGGUUAUACAGGCAAAUCCGUAUAACAAUACUCCGAGAACUGAAAGGCUUUUUGAAGUCUUCGGAUGGAUAGAAGAACCCCUGAUGCCAUCGAGCCAAGAAAAGUUUCUAAGUUUAGCUAAUGUUGCCCGUACCGUAAACCGACACAGGUGGGUGGGAUGAGUAUUCUAAGGCGCGUGGAAGAACUCUCUUUAAGGAACUCUGCAAAAUAGCACCGUAUCUUCGGUAUAAGGUGUGGUUCGCUUCGUAUUAGGAUUUACUCCGAAAGCGAAGAAACUUACAACAAAGAGUCCCUCCCGACUGUUUACCAAAAACACAGCACUCUGCUAACUCGUAAGAGGAUGUAUAGGGUGUGACGCCUGCCCGGUGCUCGAAGGUUAAUUGAUGGGGUUAGCAUUAGCGAAGCUCUUGAUCGAAGCCCGAGUAAACGGCGGCCGUAACUAUAACGGUCCUAAGGUAGCGAAAUUCCUUGUCGGUUAAAUACCGACCUGCAUGAAUGGCGUAACGAGAUGGGAGCUGUCUCAAAGAGGGAUCCAGUGAAAUUGUAGUGGAGGUGAAAAUUCCUCCUACCCGCGGCAAGACGGAAAG
rnacentral:rRNA from 1 species